rnacentral:rRNA from 1 species
AGUGAACGCUGGCGGUAGGCCUAACACAUGCAAGUCGAACGGCAGCACAGGAGAGCUUGCUCUCUGGGUGGCGAGUGGCGGACGGGUGAGGAAUACAUCGGAAUCUACUCUGUCGUGGGGGAUAACGUAGGGAAACUUACGCUAAUACCGCAUACGACCUACGGGUGAAAGCAGGGGACCUUCGGGCCUUGCGCGAUUGAAUGAGCCGAUGUCGGAUUAGCUAGUUGGCGGGGUAAAGGCCCACCAAGGCGACGAUCCGUAGCUGGUCUGAGAGGAUGAUCAGCCACACUGGAACUGAGACACGGUCCAGACUCCUACGGGAGGCAGCAGUGGGGAAUAUUGGACAAUGGGCGCAAUCCUGAUCCAGCCAUACCGCGUGGGUGAAGAAGGCCUUCGGGUUGUAAAGCCCUUUUGUUGGGAAAGAAAUCCAGCUGGCUAAUACCCGGUUGAGACGACGGUACCCAAAGAAUAAGCACCGGCUAACUUCGUGCCAGCCGCCGCGGUAA